AAAAGGUGAGAGAAGGAAGGAAAGAAAGGGAAAAGAUGAAUGGUGAUAGCAGAAGAUGUUGUUCCUUCCAGCUCACCCGUUUACUACGGACAUUCACCUUUCCUUCUUCUCUUUCUCAAAUCAAAAAUAUUUUCUUUCCUUUUCCUUUUUUUUUCUUCUUCAAAAUCAUAUACAUUAUAGAAAUAAAAGAUAACAAUCUCAUCAACUUUUUGCACACACAUAAUUAUACCCAGAAAUCUUCGAACAUUACCCAAAAUAACUCUUUCUUUUUUGUUCUAUAUAAUGUUUUCGUAGUUUAAACCACCACAAAAUUGUUUUUGUUUCAUCCCUUCUGUUCUGUAAAUGGGUAAUGUCACGGGAACGGUGGCGGCAAAGUUUGCGUUUUUCCCGCCGGAGCCACCAACAUACGAAGUUUACAAAGAGAACGAUGAUGGGGUGUUGAAGAUUUCCGGCACGACGGAUAAAAGCGUCGACGUUCAUAUUGUAGACACAAAAGGAGGCAAUAAGAUCGUUGCUACGUUGUGGAAACACCCUUUUGCAAGGUUUACUAUAUUGUACUCUCAUGGUAAUGCUGCUGAUUUGGGUCAGAUGCGUGACCUCUUCAUUGAGCUUAGAGCUCAUCUUCGUGUCAAUAUCAUGAGCUAUGACUAUUCUGGUUAUGGACGUUCCACAGGUAAGCCAUCUGAGUUCAACACGUAUUACGACAUAGAGGCUGUAUAUAAUUUAUUGAGGAAUGAAUAUGGAUUUAAGCAAGAAGAUUUGAUUUUGUAUGGUCAAUCCGUUGGAAGUGGACCAACGACACACUUGGCUUCUAAAUUGCAAAAAUUGAGAGGUGUUGUACUUCACAGUGCUAUUCUUUCUGGAUUAAGGGUCUUGUACCCUGUAAAGGUCACAUUUUGGUUUGACAUUUUCAAAAAUAUAGACAAAAUUCGGUAUGUCAAAUGUCCGGUGUUUGUUAUACAUCUUGAUGAUGAUUUUGUCCACAUGAAAGCUUGACUUAACCCUCAAUUAGAAAAGAAUAGCUCAAGUCUGAAGUCUGAAUGCUUGAUUGCGUAUGUCAUACAAAGCCAAGUGCACAUGAUUAGCGUGUAUCAUAAACAAAUCAUCCCAUUGUUUUCCCAUCUAGUAUUCAAAACCUGAUUUGGAUAUACCAAUGAAUUACCACCCGCAUUCCUAGUCAAAGUUUGUGCUUGCUCCUUAGUCAAAACAACCCCUGUGUUUGUCUCAUUGCUUUAUUUCCAUUUGAUCCCAUGCUCUCCUCAUUAAAUUCCUCUGUCUUCCGUGUCAGCUUUAGAUCCAUCCAUAAAAAACAUAUAUAUAUAUUUUUUUUUUCCUAUCUUCUUCUAAAGCCCUAGAAAAAGUAUAUAGUACCUUUUUGGUGAGUGAAAAUGGGUACUGAGUGGAGAGGAGCCUUUUGCACGAGCGAUCCUGAAUCUACCCUAUCAGAUGAUAAGAACAACGAAAGUCUGAGCCGAAAAGUUGUGCUCAAUUGAAUUUUCUUUCUGGAGGGAACAGAAGAUGAAAUUGUGGAUUGUUCUCAUGGAAAGCGGUUGUGGGAGCUCUCAAAGGAAAAAUAUGACCCCUUGUGGGUUAAAGGUGGAGGCCAUUGCAACCUUGAAACUUUCCCCGAGUAC